AUACGUAGGGGGCGAGCGUUGUCCGGAAUGAUUGGGCGUAAAGGGCGCGUAGGCGGCCCGGUAAGUCUGGAGUGAAAGUCCUGUUUUUAAGAUGGGAAUUGCUUUGGAUACUGUCGGGCUUGAGUGCAGGAGAAGUAAGUGGAAUUCCCAGUGUAGCGGUGAAAUGCGUAGAGAUUGGGAGGAACACCAGUGGCGAAGGCGACUUACUGGACUGUAACUGACGCUGAGGCGCGAAAGUGUGGGGAGCAAACAGGAUUAGAUACCCUGGUAGUCCACACUGUAAACGAUGAAUGCUAGGUGUAGGGGGUAUCGACCCCUUCUGUGCCGCAGUCAACACAAUAAGCAUUCCGCCUGGGGAGUACGGCCGCAAGGUUGAAACUCAAAUGAAUUGACGGGG
rnacentral:rRNA from 1 species